rnacentral:rRNA from 1 species
AUUGAACGCUGGCGGCAGGCUUAACACAUGCAAGUCGAGCGGGGAAAGGUAGCUUGCUACCUGACCUAGCGGCGGACGGGUGAGUAAUGCUUAGGAAUCUGCCUAUUAGUGGGGGACAACAUCUCGAAAGGGAUGCUAAUACCGCAUACGUCCUACGGGAGAAAGCAGGGGACCUUCGGGCCUUGCGCUAAUAGAUGAGCCUAAGUCGGAUUAGCUAGUUGGUGGGGUAAAGGCCUACCAAGGCGACGAUCUGUAGCGGGUCUGAGAGGAUGAUCCGCCACACUGGGACUGAGACACGGCCCAGACUCCUACGGGAGGCAGCAGUGGGGAAUAUUGGACAAUGGGGGGAACCCUGAUCCAGCCAUGCCGCGUGUGUGAAGAAGGCCUUUUGGUUGUAGAGCACUUUAAGCGAGGAGGAGGCUACCGAGAUUAAUACUCUUGGAUAGUGGACGUUACUCGCAGAAUAAGCACCGGCUAACUCUGUG